GCGAACGCUGGCGGCAUGCUUCACACAUGCAAGUCGCACGGGCAGCAAUGUCAGUGGCGGACGGGUGAGUAACGCGUAGGAACGUGUCCUGAGGUGGGGGACAACCCCGGGAAACUGGGGCUAAUACCGCAUAUGGGCUGAGGCCCAAAGCCGAGAGGCGCCUUUGGAGCGGCCUGCGUCCGAUUAGGUAGUUGGUGGGGUAAAGGCCUACCAAGCCUGCGAUCGGUAGCUGGUCUGAGAGGACGACCAGCCACACUGGGACUGAGACACGGCCCAGACUCCUACGGGAGGCAGCAGUGGGGAAUAUUGGACAAUGGGCGAAAGCCUGAUCCAGCAAUGCCGCGUGGGUGAAGAAGGUCUUCGGAUCGUAAAGCCCUUUCGACGGGGACGAUGAUGACGGUACCCGUAGAAGAAGCCCCGGCUAACUUCGUG
rnacentral:rRNA from 1 species